rnacentral:rRNA from 1 species
GAUGAACGCUGGCGGCGUGCCUAAUACAUGCAAGUCGAGCGAACAGAUGAGGAGCUUGCUCCUCUGACGUUAGCGGCAGACGGGUGAGUAACACGUGGAUAACCCACCUAUAAGACUGGGAUAACUUCGGGAAACCGGAGCUAAUACCGGAUAAUAUAUUGAACCGCAUGGUUCAAUAGUGAAAGACGGUUUUGCUGUCACUUAUAGAUGGAUCCGCGCCGCAUUAGCUAGUUGGUAAGGUAACGGCUUACCAAGGCAACGAUGCGUAGCCGACCUGAGAGGGUGAUCGGCCACACUGGAACUGAGACACGGUCCAGACUCCUACGGGAGGCAGCAGUAGGGAAUCUUCCGCAAUGGGCGAAAGCCUGACGGAGCAACGCCGCGUGAGUGAUGAAGGUCUUCGGAUCGUAAAACUCUGUUAUUAGGGAAGAACAAAUGUGUAAGUAACUAUGCACGUCUUGACGGUACCUAAUCAGAAAGCCACGGCUAACUACGUG